GCGCGCGUGGCGGAAUCGGUAGACGCGCCAGACUUAGGAUCUGGUUCCGAAAGGAGUGGAGGUUCGAAUCCUCUCGCGCGCACCA
rnacentral:tRNA from 1 species